rnacentral:rRNA from 1 species
UGAUCUAUUGAUGACCACCUGUGGCGAAGGCGGUCUACCAGAACACGUCCGACGGUGAGGGAUGAAAGCUGGGGGAGCAAACCGGAUUAGAUACCCGGGUAGUCCCAGCUGUAAACUAUGCAAACUCAGUGAUGCAUUGGCUUGUGGCCAAUGCAGUGCUGCAGGGAAGCCGUUAAGUUUGCCGCCUGGGAAGUACGUACGCAAGUAUGA